UACGUAGGGCGCAAGUGUUAUCCGGAAUUAUUGGGCGUAAAGAGCUCGUAGGCGGUUUGUCGCGUCUGCCGUGAAAGUCCGGGGCUCAACUCCGGAUCUGCGGUGGGUACGGGCAGACUAGAGUGAUGUAGGGGAGACUGGAAUUCCUGGUGUAGCGGUGAAAUGCGCAGAUAUCAGGAGGAACACCGAUGGUGAAGGCAGGUCUCUGGGCAUUAACUGACGCUGAGGAGCGAAAGCAUGGGGAGCGAACAGG
rnacentral:rRNA from 1 species